rnacentral:lncRNA from 1 species
UCCCCAAAUUUGGGGAUUUUUGGGGCUUUUUUUUGAUUUUGGGAUUUUUUGGGGUGAAUUUGGGGGAUUUUGGGUCGUACCCAGGUGACUUUAAGAGACUCUUAGGGAGGAUUUUGGGGAUAAAAAAACCCCAAAUUUGGGGAUUUUGGGGGGAUUUCUGUGGGGAUUUUUGGGGUGAAUUUGGGGGAUUUUGGGUUUUUUGGAGUGCUGAGGUUGAUUUUGGGUUUUUUGGGGUGAAUUUGGGGAAUUUUGGGUCGCACCCAGGUGACUUUAAGAGACUCUCUAGGAGGAUUUUGGGGAUUAAAAAACCCCAAAUUUGGGGAUUUUGGGGGGAUUUCUGUGGGGAUUUUUGGGGUGAAUUUGGGGGAUUUUGGGUUUUUUGGGGUGCCGAGGUGGAUUUUGGGGUGAAUUUGGGGGAU